UCGCCUGUUUAUCAAAAACAUGUCCUUUUGUGUCUUUUUUAGGUUUAACCUGCUCAAUGAUUUUAAAUAGCCGCAGUAUUUUAACUGUGCUAAGGUAGCAUAAUAAUUAGUCUUUUAAUUGAGGUUUGGAAUGAAUGGUUGGACGAGAAAUUUACUUUAUUUUUUUUAUUUGUUGAAUUUAAUUUUUUAGUUAAAAAGCUUGAAUUUAGAAGAGGGACGAUAAGACCCUAUAGAUCUUAAAAAUUUAAUUUUUUUUAAGAUUUUUGGAUGUAAUAUUCUUAGAAGUUUUAUUUUUUUUUGUUGGGGUGACAGUUAAAAUUUUUUACUUUAAUUUUUUUUUACAUAUUUAUAUGUUUAUUUUGAUCCUUAAUUUUCGAUUAUAAGAUAAAGAUACCUUAGGGAUAACAGCGUUAUAUAAUUGGAGAGUUCUUAUUGAUAAUUAUGUUUGCGACCUCGAUGUUGGAUUAAAAUUUGGCUGUGGGGUAGGUUUACAGUUCUAGGUC
rnacentral:rRNA from 1 species